rnacentral:rRNA from 1 species
UACGGAGGGAGCUAGCGUUGUUCGGAAUUACUGGGCGUAAAGCGUACGUAGGCGGUUAUUCAAGUCAGAGGUGAAAGCCCGGGGCUCAACCCCGGAACUGCCUUUGAAACUAGAUAACUAGAAUCUUGGAGAGGUCAGUGGAAUUCCGAGUGUAGAGGUGAAAUUCGUAGAUAUUCGGAAGAACACCAGUGGCGAAGGCGACUGACUGGACAAGUAUUGACGCUGAGGUACGAAAGCGUGGGGAGCAAACGGG